GACGAACGCUGGCGGCGUGCUUAACACAUGCAAGUCGAACGGUGACGCUCCAGCUUGCUGGUGUGACUCAGUGGCGAACGGGUGAGUAACACGUGAACAACCUGCCCCUGACUUUGGAGUAAGCGCAGGAAGCGGCACCUACUAUUGGAUACGAUAAGGCUCCGCAUGGAAAGCUUCUGGUAUUUGUUUCGGUUGCGGAUGGGCUCGCGGGUUACGAGCUUGUUGGUGGGGUAGUGGCUCACCAAGCCGGCGACGGGUAGGCGGCCUGAGAGCGCGACCGGGCACAAUGGGACUGAGGCAGGGACCAGACUCCUACGGUGGGCAGCGGUGGGGAAUAUUGCACAGUGGGCGAAAGCCUGAGGCAGCGACGUCGCGUGAGGGAUGACGGCCUUCGGGUUGAAAACAUCUUUCGGCAGGGAAGAAGCGAUAGUGACGGUACCUAAAGAAGAAGCACCGGCUGACUACGUG
rnacentral:rRNA from 1 species